UGACGGUACUUUAUUAGAAAGCCACGGCUAACUACGUGCCAGCAGCCGCGGUAAUACGUAGGUGGCAAGCGUUAUCCGGAAUUAUUGGGCGUAAAGAGGGAGCAGGCGGCAGCAAGGGUCUGUGGUGAAAGCCUGAAGCUUAACUUCAGUAAGCCAUAGAAACCAGGCAGCUAGAGUGCAGGAGAGGAUCGUGGAAUUCCAUGUGUAGCGGUGAAAUGCGUAGAUAUAUGGAGGAACACCAGUGGCGAAGGCGACGAUCUGGCCUGCAACUGACGCUCAGUCCCGAAAGCGUGGGGAGCAAAUAGGAUUAGAUACCCUAGUAGUCCACGCCGUAAACGAUGAGUACUAAGUGUUGGAUGUCAAAGUUCAGUGCUGCAGUUAACGCAAUAAGUACUCCGCCUGAGUAGUACGUUCGCAAGAAUGAAACUCAAAGGAAUUGACGGGGGCCCGCACAAGCGGUGGAGCAUGUGGUUUAAUUCGAAGCAACGCGAAGAACCUUACCAGGUCUUGACAUACUCAUAAAGGCUCCAGAGAUGGAGAGAUAGCUAUAUGAGAUACAGGUGGUGCAUGGUUGUCGUCAGCUCGUGUCGUGAGAUGUUGGGUUAAGUCCCGCAACGAGCGCAACCCUUAUCGUUAGUUACCAUCAUUAAGUUGGGGACUCUAGCGAGACUGCCAGUGACAAGCUGGAGGAAGGCGGGGAUGACGUCAAAUCAUCAUGCCCCUUAUGACCUGGGCUACACACGUGCUACAAUGGAUGGUGCAGAGGGAAGCGAAGCCGCGAGGUGAAGCAAAACCCAUAAAACCAUUCUCAGUUCGGAUUGUAGUCUGCAACUCGACUACAUGAAGUUGGAAUCGCUAGUAAUCGCGAAUCAGCAUGUCGCGGUGAAUACGUUCUCGGGCCUUGUACUCACCGCCCGUCA
rnacentral:rRNA from 1 species